CCUUCGGGUGGCAGCAGUGAGGAAUAUUGGUCAAUGGGCUUACGCCUGAACCAGCCAAGUCGCGUGAGGGAAGACUGCCCUAUGGGUUGUAAACCUCUUUUGUCAGGGAGCAACGCCGGCUACGUGUAGCCGGACUGAGAGUACCUGAAGAAAAAGCAUCGGCUAACUCCGUGCCAGCAGCCGCGGUAAUACGGAGGAUGUGAGCGUUAUCCGGAUUUAUUGGGUUUAAAGGGUGCGUAGGCGGAAUGCCAAGUCAGCGGUAAAAUCGCGGGGCUCAACCUCGCUCCGCCGUUGAAACUGUUGGUCUUGAGUAUCGGAGAGGCAGGCGGAAUUCCUAGUGUAGCGGUGAAAUGCGUAGAUAUUAGGAGGAACACCAGUGGCGAAGGCGGCCUGCUGGACGACAACUGACGGUGAGGCGCGAAAGCGUGGGGAGCAAACAGGAUUAGAUACCCUGGUAGUC
rnacentral:rRNA from 1 species